GUGCCGGUAGCUUAAUGGUUAGAGCGCCUGACUUCAAAAAACUUCGGUUUCCUUAGAUCGGGUGAUGCACGUUCGAAUCGUGUCCGGUGCU
rnacentral:tRNA from 2 species